AUCCACCCUGUUUCAUUCUGUGUGUUUCCCUGCCGUCUUCCAUCAUUCCGUCUCCUGCUAUUCGUGUUCAGCCAAGGUUUGGAAGAAGACUUAAACUGUCACCCUAAGAUGAGAGGAAAUUGGCUAGGAUACUCAGGAUAAACCCAGGAACCACCAAGGCUCAAACAGCUGGAAAACUAGUAUAACAGUCUACUCUGAGCCAUUGCAGCUUUCCUCCCCCAGAGGUUUCCCCCCUAUCAGAAGUGGCCUAGCUAUGAUGGAUUGGCAUCCUGUGAGUGUCAAACUGCUUUAUGGCUCUUUAAUGAGGCGAUCAGGCACAGGGAGCCUCAACUGCUACUGCCUCUAUUGGUGCUUAAAUAGGAAAUCAAAACAGGUGAAGUUUCAUUAUAGCUGCUGCUGUUAGCACCUGC